ACUAACAUAUUGACGUUUAGGUUUGAGUUGCAUUUUUUUCCAGGAAAUCAAUAUGAGUUACUACAGUGGCGAGUCCUCUAUGGAUGCGGAUUACAACGUCGAUGAAGGUGAGUCUUGGUCAACUAGACCGGAGAGAGAGCAACAGGCUUAUGAGAGUUUCAGAGCUGACACCCAAAGCUUAGUAGCUUGACGCAAUGAGAGGAGAGCUGAACGACUUCUAGGGAACGAGGUACCCCUGUUAUCAGACUUUAGCCCAGCUGGGGAUACUGGAGGACGUACAUCACUUAUUUGAGAAGUGUCAUCUGGAGACACUGAUGUCUUACCCGUACGUCGCCUACAAGAAGGAAACAAUAGAGUUUCUCUCCACUCACAGCAGAUGAGCUGGAGAGUGAAGGGUUGCGGUUCUUGACUUUUUCAGUGAGCGAGCACCGUUACCAGCUAUCUAUCGGAGCUUGGAAGGAUUGUUUGGUUUCCCAAGUGAAAAGGGAACUAAACCCAAGUUCGAGAGGGAAGAGUUGAAGGAUUUGUGGUUAACUAUUGGGAACGAUAUGGCGCUCAACUCUAUGAGGUCCAAGAGCAACCAGAUUCGAAGCCCUGGGAUCCAGUACUAUCAACGCUCUGUAGCGAAUGUUCUGUACUCUAUGGAAUCUACAGGCACCGUGUCUAACACAGACAUGGAGAUGAUUGAUUCUGCACUCACGGGCAUUCUCCGCUGAACAAAGGGGAAGAAGUUCCUAAAGGGCGACCUCAAUGAUGCUCCACCGGUUAUGCUUCUGUUGAUCCACCUCUGUGGAUACAGGAAGUGGGCGCACACCAACGGGAAGAAGAGGGCGCGAAGAGCCCUUUGUGUAGGUGGUGUUGUGACACCAAUUCUGAUAGCAUGUGGUGUACCUCUCACGUCUCCACGGUUCGAUCCGAGGAUGAUGGAUUUAGAUCACUUGCGUCGUUGUGAGUUUCUGGAGCACGACAUAGUUGGCGAUUUCUAUCGCUAGAAGUUCGAGCACUCCUUGACCCGAAAAGCCAACAUUCUGCUUCCCUGCACUGAGGCCACAACCAUACUCCAGGGCGAAAACAUUGACUUCAAGCCUGCGCGUGAUUACAUCUACUUUGAGAGCGCUCCACCGACUGAUGACAACGUCCCUACAACAGAUUCUAUAGAGGAUGAGAUUGCUGAGACAGAUGAGGAUAGGGAGGAGGAGUACGAUACGAGCAUGUAUCAUUUCAGUGAGCAUGUACCUCCAGCGAGGGAGAGCAAGAGCUUGAGCGAAGCUCACAGAAACAACAGCAAGUUGCAGAAGUGGUGCAAGAAACAAGAUAGGCUACUCAUCAAGUGCUUCAAGGCCAUCAAGUUUCUGACUGACAAGCUAAGCUGCUCCUCUUCUACCACAGCUAUUCCGCAGGGAGAGCCUCCUCUAGACAUGCCCUCGAGGAGAUAUGACGCGUCAGAGCCAAGUCGCCACAGGCCAGAGCCAGUUCAACACAGGCCUGAGCCUAGUGACCGAGUAGUCUCAUAGGUCCCUGCGAGGCAUUCAUCAUUUGAGCCUCGGGAGCUCGGGAGAAAGAAGAAGGCUGCAUUGGCUCAAUCUGGCAGUAGGAGUACAUGACUUCUCCAGUCCCGAAGCUUACGUGACCGCGGUUCUGGCCGCAGCAGAAGAAGAGAGGUCGAGUAUCAUCAGAGCGGUGCUGGCCGCGACGAAGGAGCAGAGGUCGAGUAACCCCACGGGGAAGCUGAGACACAACAGGGAGAUUCUUCGAUGGCAUGGGAGCAAUCACAGGCAGCUAUUGACGACCAACUCCGUUCCUUUUUCCACUGAGGUAAGCACCUCACUUCACCAUUGUAAUAUACCAUCUCUUGUUUUUAUUUUGUUUCUGUGAUGUGUUUUGUCCUCAGUACUCUCUUCCAAAUUUGGUCACACAGUGGACUGUGUGAUUUAAGUUUGGGGGAGGGCUCAAGAAGUGUGUGUUGCAUUGUAUAUAAUCUCUAGUCUGCAUUCAUCUAAGAGCAAGUCUAGCAAGGGUUUUUAGUGGGUUUCUAUGUUGGGUUUUUUAAAAAAAAUGGGCCCGGAUGAAAAAAAACAGAACAAUCCAUUUAGGAUCGUUCCUAAAAUUGGGUUUUUCGCGACCCAAUAGAAACUCAUACGUGGCUUCAUUUUAUUGGGUAAACGUUUUGACUAAACAAAAAAAAAAAACACGCGUUUUUUUGUUUUCUUCUUCUCUCUGAUUUCUUCGUGGUCGCCGACGGAGACCCCAAAUCGAUUCUGCUUCUAACCAAAUCGAAACCCUCAUCAUGGUUCGUAUCUCUUCUUCUUCGAAUCGAUUUGAUUUUAUGAGCUUUGAAAUUGAAUUUUGAAAGAGAUUAUGAUCUGAUUGCAUUGGUAUGUAUAUUGAAUUACGAAUUCUGGGAAUUUUUAGUUCGUGUACUAAGCUUGAGCUGCAUAUGUUGUUA
rnacentral:sRNA from 1 species